AAAAUCUUGUUUUCUAUGUCCUUGUCCAUAACAGUUCUUAUGGGAACUUAACUUUAAUAGAAACCAUAUUUAUGCAAUUUUAUGGAGGUUGUUGACUAAAAAUGGGCCGACGAACAACACACAGCUUUGUUGUGACCUAAAUUGGUUUUUGCACAAAUGCAUUUGUUUAGGCUGUCAAUUUUGUGUAUUUUUUGUUUUGGGAAAGUUUUCACUUAUCAAUUACAGAUUUCCUGAUUUAUAUGCUGCUGUUUGUUAUGGUAAGUUUCUACUCCUUUCUGGUAUCUAAAUUUGAGCUGAACUCAAAUUUGCUAUCUUUGGCAAUUGCAUAUUUUUCUUUAUUAAUUUCGUGUUUUACAAGGAAUUAAAUUUGAUUGCAUAACUUCCUAGUGGUGCAAGUCACCUUGUACCGUAGAUAGACCUACCAUGUUACACCUUCUUGGUGCUUUUAGCAGAUUGCCUUCCCUAUGAAAAGCAAAAACUACAAUGUUGGAUUAGAUUUAUAAACAUAAUUUUCUAGAAGCUUGAAGACAUCAUAAAACAACAUAUGCAAAUAUUUUUGUUUUAUUUACUUGUUAUUAUCAUUAUUUUUUUAUAUAGCUCUGGUAUCUAUCUCUGUGAUCCAUGGUUCAAGAAAUUGGCCAGUACAUACCAGUUUGUGGGCCCUCCAAUUUGAAUACACCCCGGUUUACUGUUGGGAUAAAAAUUGCAAGUGAAUCAGCUGAUUUGCAAUACGUAUCACUCUGAAUUGGAAUUUGAUAGUAGAUCAUAGCCAAAUCCAUCCGGUUCAUUAGACAUCUCCCCUACCAUAGUUAAAACUGACCAUGGAUAUGGCUAUUUUGUUAUGUAACUUUGUGAACAAUACAGGUGAUAUGGUGUCAUAUAAAAACAUUGAUUCAUAAUUUUGAAAACAUGAUUCAUUUUAUGGUUUGGUUUAGUUUGCAAACUUCUAAGAGUGUCUUAAUUGUUUCCCUUCUCCCUACUACAAUUCAUGCACACACAAAUUGGUCUUCCUUUUCAUUUUAGUUUGAUAUUUUAACAUUGUAAUCCUGACCUGGCUUGCUGAUCCAGAUCCUUACAAUUAAUUAUCGUUCUGUGCUUUUGAUCCUUCCACAGACAUAUACCUAACAGUUGUUUUGAUUGAUUGGCAGAAUGGAAUGCAUUCUCUUUGUCCAGAUGUAUGGUCUGAGCAUAGAAGGUGGCUGUUGAUGUCAAUGAUCUGUCUCAAUCCGUUAGCGUGUUGUCAAUGAAGAUGAAGGAAUGCCAGGCAGAAGUAGAUUGGGCUGGAAGGGGAAAUUUUGGUUUUAAAUAAUUGUGUCCCUUUCUACCUUAGGGAGCUUUGGUGUUUGUGAUGCUGACGAGGAGUCCUUUGAUGAAAAGUGUAAGAAGUUUUGCUGUGACAUUGCCCUGCUUCCUCAUAAUAGCAACAAUUAUCUGUUGAUAAGAAUUACUUGAUAUGUCAAUUUUUGGAAAUUUUGAAUUUGAAAACUUUGAAUAUACUCAGAGCUAUGUACUCAUUAUGAUUUGGUAAUAGAGUGUCUUUGAUUUGUGGAUGUCAAA